CUUCUCUUCUGAUUGACGCCAUUUUGUGCAGUUCGUUUUGUGUUCAUGCGGAGACACAGAGUUUUGGUGUUAUGCCUCCAGAGUCCCUCAAGUGGCUGUGCAAAGAUUGUGGCUCAUUUCACACAUCCAGAUCAAAGCUUUUAAAACACUUCAGGAUGUCCCCAUCGAAAAAAGACGUGAAUGCAUCCUAAAAGCCCUUGUUGUUUAUGUGAAUGAAGACCUCUCAAACCUUGUGAAGGAGUACAUGGACGUUGAACAUGAAGCCCAAACCUCAAUGCGCAACACCACCCUAGGAAUCUAUGUCAUCAAACCUGAAGGGGCACAUGCCACAGACCCUUACCAAGAUGUUGACAUCAUCGUUGAAGGCAUCAAAAUACUUGAAAACCUGAACAAUGUUGCCAAUGCAUGUUCUAUGAUGCUUGGUCUAAUUUAUGCAUUAAACUUGGCCUACCCGCAAGACUUGAGAUACACAUUUGAAACAUUUUAAAAGCUUUUUAUGGAGCUAGAUGCCAACAAGCUGUCAAACAAGGUCCAUGUCCUAAAAAAUAAACUUCUUUUGUAAGUACUAAUUUGAGGUAAGGUUCAAGAGGUGGUACUUAUGUUUCCUUGAUGUUACACUGUUGGCUUGUUACAGUACAUUUGUUCCAAGACUGACCAUGUUACACUUUUCAGUAUUGAUCUCAUAAGUGCUUUAAAUAAGUGCUUUAUUUUUUAUCCCAAUUUAAUGGAGGCACAGACUGCAAGAGAGACUUUUCACCCACUUCAUUUCAUUUAUAGCAAUGCUUUUUUUGUUGUUUUUUUGUAUGUGCUUUUAAUAAGAAAACGGAAAGCAGUUUUAAAGAUACAGAUUUUGACCAAAUAAUUUGUGAAAGGUAUGUUCUUGAA